rnacentral:rRNA from 1 species
GAUGAACGCUAGCGGGAGGCCUAAUACAUGCAAGUCGAGCGGUAGAGUGACUUCGGUUGCUUGAGAGCGGCGAACGGGUGAGUAACGCGUACACAAUCUACCUUUAAGAGGGGAAUAGCCCUGGGAAACUGGGAUUAAUGCCCCAUGGCAUCACGAGACGGCAUCGUUUUGUGAUUAAAGCUGAGGUGCUUAGAGAUGAGUGUGCGUCUGAUUAGCUAGUUGGUGCGGUAACGGCGCACCAAGGCGACGAUCAGUAGGGGGCGUGAGAGCGUGGACCCCCACAGGGGUACUGAGACACGGACCCGACUCCUACGGGAGGCAGCAGUAAGGGAAUAUUGGUCAAUGGAGGAAACUCUGAACCAGCCAUCCCGCGUGCAGGAAGAAUGCCCUAUGGGUUGUAAACUGCUUUUAUCUGGGAAGAAAAGUCGGCAUUUAUGCUGAUCUGACGGUACCAGAGGAAUAAGCACUGGGCUAAACUCCGUGCCAGC